rnacentral:rRNA from 1 species
UACAGAGGGUGCGAGCGUUAAUCGGAUUAACUGGGCGUAAAGGGCGCGUAGGCGGUAGGAUACGUGUGAUGUGAAAUCCCCGGGCUCAACCUGGGAACUGCAUUCAAAACUGACAAGCUAGAGUAUGGUAGAGGGUGGUGGAAUUUCCUGUGUAGCGGUGAAAUGCGUAGAUAUAGGAAGGAACACCAGUGGCGAAGGCGACCACCUGGACUGAUACUGACACUGAGGUGCGAAAGCGUGGGGAGCAAACAGGAUUAGAAACCCUGGUAGU